CCUACGGGAGGCAGCAGUGGGGAAGAUUGCGCAAUGGGCGAAAGCCUGACGCAGCGACGCCGCGUGAGGGAUGAAGGUCUUCGGAUCGUAAACCUCUGUCAGCAGGGAAGAACGGUCACGGUGCUAAUCAGCAGUGAAUUGACGGUACCGGCAAAGGAAGCACCGGCGAACACCGUGCCAGCAGCCGCGGUAAUACGGAGGGUGCGCGCGUUAAUCGGAAUAACGGGGCGUAAAGCGCUCGUAGGCGGUAUGUCAAGUCAAGGGUGAAAUCCCCGCGCUCAACGUGGGAACUGCCUUUGAAACUGGCAAACUGGAGUGUGUGAGAGGUUAGUGGAAUUCCCGGUGUAGCCGU
rnacentral:rRNA from 1 species